GGGGGGAGGUGUAUAGAUUUUUCAGUAUUUUAUAGGGGGGGUCUUCAACAUUUAGAUCAUCAAGAGGGGGGAGGGCUACAAGAUUUUUGUAUAUGACAUAAGAAUCUUCCCCCCACCCCCAGGGUAUAAAUAAUGAACGGUCCCUAAGAUUCGCAAAGCAAAUUUCAGUUACUAUAAUAUCAAACCUCCCUUCUAAAUUCCAUUUUUCUUCCAAUGUUCUGCUUGUAUUUUAAAGAAAAGGGAAUUUGAAUGCGGGAGGGGGGGGGGGGGUUGAAACUAUUCAGUGAAACUAUUCGAUUUAAAACAGUCGGCACCGCACAAUUGAAUAACCUUAUAUAUAACCUUAUUAUAUAAACGUUCUUAUUUUCUCCAAUUUUCUCAAGAUGCCAGCGAGUGCACAGAAGAAGAAUCAAACGAAGUAUCGAGCACGAAGAGCAGGAAUUGUUCAAUGAACUGUUCAGACAGUGUUUUGUCAAAUGUAUUUUCAUUUUUGACACUGGGAAUAAAAGGCAUACAUAUGGCUUGUCAAAGAGGAGCCGCACCAGGCCUUUUUACAAAUUACUGAAUCAUUCGGUGGCCUUGAGAUAACAAUUUACAGAGACAACAUUAUAAAACCUAUAGAGAUAUUAGUAUACCAUAAUAUAAUCACAUAUAAAGUAAAUCAAGAAUAGCUGAUCUAUAUAAUAAUUAUAAUGAUAGUUUUAAGAAUAACGAAAUUUAUCUACAGUAUUCAUUAUCUCAAUUGAGCAUUCCUUUCUUUUUUGCUUAUCAAAUUCAUCCAAAAUGGCGGCGGUGACGUAACAGUUUGCACAAUACAAGCAAUUGACUCGACAAAUAGCAUACUCCUAUUAUCAUACCCUUAUUAUAAGUGAUGUAAUUUUAAAAAUUAAUGACACUGCAUCGAUGCAGUUAAUUAAAAUAAGAAACAGGCUCAUGCCAUUGAGUGUGACAAAAUGGUCGCUUUGCAUAACACUAAGCACAUUCGGUAAUCUUGGUAAUGGUAUAUUCGGACCAGUACAGUAUGUCAUUGAUUCGGUAAUUUAACGCCAGACGCGAUUUUACUUUCCCCACAAAAGAUUACGUAAAUCCUGG